UACGUAGGUGGCAAGCGUUGUCCGGAUUUAUUGGGUUUAAAGGGUGCGUAGGCGGUCCUAUAAGUCAGUGCUGAAAUAUCCCGGCUUAACCGGGAGGGUGGCAUUGAUACUGUUGGACUUGAGUAAAGUUGAGGUUGGCGGAAUUGACGGUGUAGCGGUGAAAUGCUUAGAUAUCGUCAAGAACACCGAUAGCGAAGGCAGCUUACUGGGCUGUAACUGACGCUGAGGCACGAAAGUGUGGGGAUCAAACAGG
rnacentral:rRNA from 1 species